rnacentral:rRNA from 1 species
UACGAGGGGGGCAAGCGUUGUUCGGAUUUAUUGGGCGUAAAGGGUGCGUAGGCGGUCUGGCAAGUCUUGUGUGAAAUCUUCGGGCUCAACCCGAAGUCUGCACAAGAAACUGCCGGGCUUGAGUAUGGGAGAGGUGAGUGGAAUUUCCGGUGUAGCGGUGAAAUGCGUAGAUAUCGGAAGGAACACCUGUGGCGAAAGCGGCUCACUGGACCAUAACUGACGCUGAGGCACGAAAGCUAGGGGAGCAAACAGGAGUUAGA